AAUGUUCUGGGAUAUACGAAUGGUUUCUAUUUUGAACCUACGUAUUGCAUCAGGGAAUCCAAUACGGGUAUUGUAUACUAGGCCCAUAGUAAGUCCAAUUACGGCAGGGGACAGUAGAAGAUAUUCUGAGGAUACCCACCUAUCGAGAGAUAGGUGUCAAAAUUGGAACGACGGUAUCUCAGAUCUCAU
rnacentral:other from 1 species